rnacentral:rRNA from 1 species
UACGUAGGGUGCGAGCGUUAAUCGGAAUUACUGGGCGUAAAGCGUGCGUAGGCGGUUCGCUGUGUCCGAUGUGAAAGCCCCGGGCUUAACCUGGGAAUGGCAUUGGAAACUGGCGGGCUUGAGUGUGGCAGAGGGGGGAGGAAUUCCGCGUGUAGCAGUGAAAUGCGUAGAGAUGCGGAGGAACACCGAUGGCGAAGGCAGCCCCCUGGGUUAACACUGACGCUCAGGCACGAAAGCGUGGGGAGCAAACAGG